GACGAACGCUGGCGGCGUGCUUAACACAUGCAAGUCGAACGCUGAAGCUCAGCUUUUGUUGGGUGGAUGAGUGGCGAACGGGUGAGUAACACGUGAGUAACCUGCCCCCUUCUUUGGGAUAACGCCCGGAAACGGGUGCUAAUACUGGAUAUUCACUGGUCUUCGCAUGGGGGUUGGUGGAAAGGGUUUUUCUGGUGGGGGAUGGGCUCGCGGCCUAUCAGCUUGUUGGUGGGGUGAUGGCCUACCAAGGCUUUGACGGGUAGCCGGCCUGAGAGGGUGACCGGUCACAUUGGGACUGAGAUACGGCCCAGACUCCUACGGGAGGCGGCAGUGGGGAAGAUUGCACAAUGGGCGCAAGCCUGAUGCAGCGACGCCGCGUGAGGGAUGGAGGCCUUCGGGUUGUGAACCUCUUUCGCUCAUGGUCAAGCCGCAACAAUGGUUGUGGUGAGGGUAGUGGGUAAAGAAGCGCCGGCUAACUACGUG
rnacentral:rRNA from 1 species